rnacentral:rRNA from 1 species
UACGGAGGGUGCGAGCGUUGUCCGGAAUCACUGGGCGUAAAGGGCGCGUAGGCGGCCUGAUAAGUAGGGGGUGAAAUCUUGCGGCUUAACCGCAAGGCUGCCUUCUAAACUGUCGGGCUCGAGCACAGUAGAGGCAGGUGGAAUUCCCGGUGUAGCGGUGGAAUGCGUAGAGAUCGGGAAGAACAUCAGUGGCGAAGGCGGCAUCCUGGACCGAUACUGACGCU